rnacentral:rRNA from 1 species
AUUGAACGCUGGCGGCAUGCUUUACACAUGCAAGUCGAACGGUAACAGGCCGCAAGGUGCUGACGAGUGGCGAACGGGUGAGUAAUGCAUCGGAACGUGCCCAGUCGUGGGGGAUAACUACUCGAAAGAGUAGUUAAUACCGCAUACGAUCUAUGGAUGAAAGCGGGGGACGGUAAGGCCUAGCGCGGUUGGAGCGGCCGAUGUCGGAUGAGGUAGUUGGUGGGGGAAAGGUUGACCAAGCCAACGAUCUGUAGCUGGUCUGAGAGGACGACCAGCCACACUGGGACUGAGACACGGCCCAGACUCCUACGGGAGGCAGCAGUGGGGAAUUUUGGGCAAUGGGCGCAAGCCUGAUCCAGCAAUGCCGCGUGCAGGAAGAGGGCCUUCGGGUUGUAAACUGCUUUUGUACGGAACGAAACGGCUCUGGUUAAUACCCGGGGCUAAUGACGGUACCGUAAGAAUAAGCACCGGCUAACUACGUG